rnacentral:rRNA from 1 species
UACGGAGGAUGCGAGCGUUAUCCGGAUUUAUUGGGUUUAAAGGGUGCGUAGGCGGGCUUUUAAGUCAGCGGUAAAAAUUCGGGGCUCAACCCCGUCCGGCCGUUGAAACUGGGGGUCUUGAGUGGGCGAGAAGAAGGCGGAAUGCGUGGUGUAGCGGUGAAAUGCAUAGAUAUCACGCAGAACCCCGAUUGUGAAGGCAGCCUUCCGGCGCCCUACUGACGCUGAGGCACGAAAGUGCGGGGAUCGAACAGG